rnacentral:rRNA from 1 species
UUAAGUCCCGCAACGAGCGCAACCCUCGUCCUUAGUUGCCAUCAUUAAGUUGGGCACUUUAGGAAACUGCCGGUGAUAAGCCCGGAGGAAGGUGGGGAUGACGUCAAGUCCUCAUGGCCCUUACAGGCUGGGCUACACACGUGCUACAAUGGCAUCUACAGUGGGCAGCUAUUCCGCAAGGAUGCGCUAAUCUCCAAAAGAUGUCUCAGUUCGGAUUGUCCUCUGCAACUCGAGGGCAUGAAGGCGGAAUCGCUAGUAAUCGCGGAUCAGCAUGCCGCGGUGAAUACGUUCCCAGGCCUU